UCGCUUAAGUGCAAAAGGUCCAUUGCAUUCCAUUGGUAUCACGUGAUGCAAAAUGGCAGCUUUCUGAUGACUGUAUCACAAAACAGGCUUGUACUGCAGAAACUAUAAUGAUUUAUGACAAUCCUUGACAGUUACAUGAAUAUAAGAAGGAGAAAGAGAUAGUGCAUCUUAAACUUGAUCCUGUUCUUUACUUCAUCAGAUAAAUAGAUCUUCAUUAGUUUAAGAUUUUAAAAAUAACUGCAAUCAUCAUAGUUUGUAGUGAAGCAAUAAAAUUCUCAUUGGGUCUUUUCUGAUGCUUUAAAUUACUGCUAGAAGAGGUACUAGUGGCCACUUUGCAUCACGUGAUACCAAUGGAAUGCAAUUGAACUUUGCAAUUAUUAAUCAAAGGUCAACCCGCGUGUCAUACCUAGUCCAUAGGUAAUAGAGUAAAGGCGGAUUUACAAUAUUACGCUAGUCCUGACGUUACGUUGACGCUG